CAGCAGCCGCGGUAAUUCAGAGGGUGCGAGCGUUAAUCGGAUUUACUGGGCGUAAAGCGUGCGUAGGCGGCUUUUUAAGUCGGAUGUGAAAUCCCUGAGCUUAACUUAGGAAUUGCAUUCGAUACUGGGAAGCUAGAGUAUGGGAGAGGAUGGUAGAAUUCCAGGUGUAGCGGUGAAAUGCGUAGAGAUCUGGAGGAAUACCGAUGGCGAAGGCAGCCAUCUGGCCUAAUACUGACGCUGAGGUACGAAAGCAUGGGGAGCAAACAGGAUUAGAUACCCGGGUAGUCCCUGUCUCUUAUAC
rnacentral:rRNA from 1 species